AGUGAACGCUGGCGGUAGGCCUAACACAUGCAAGUCGAACGGCAGCACAGUAAGAGCUUGCUCUUACGGGUGGCGAGUGGCGGACGGGUGAGGAAUACAUCGGAAUCUACUUUUUCGUGGGGGAUAACGUAGGGAAACUUACGCUAAUACCGCAUACGACCUACGGGUGAAAGCAGGGGAUCUUCGGACCUUGCGCGAUUGAAUGAGCCGAUGUCGGAUUAGCUAGUUGGCGGGGUAAAGGCCCACCAAGGCGACGAUCCGUAGCUGGUCUGAGAGGAUGAUCAGCCACACUGGAACUGAGACACGGUCCAGACUCCUACGGGAGGCAGCAGUGGGGAAUAUUGGACAAUGGGCGCAAGCCUGAUCCAGCCAUACCGCGUGAGUGAAGAAGGCCUUCGGGUUGUAAAGCCCUUUUGUUGGGAAAGAAAAGCAGCAGGUUAAUACCCCGCUGUUAUGACGGUACCCAAAGAAUAAGCACCGGCUAACUUCGUG
rnacentral:rRNA from 1 species